rnacentral:rRNA from 1 species
UGCUUAGACAGCUAGGAUGUUGGCUUGGAAGCAGCCAUUCAUUUAAAGAGUGCGUAACAGCUCACUAGUCGAGCGGUUCGGCAUGGAUAAUAAUCGGGCAUAAACAUACUACCGAAGCUAUGGAUUUACAACAUAAGUUGUGAGUGGUAGGGGAGCAUUGUAACAGCGUAGAAGGUGUACUGCGAGGUAUGCUGGAGCGGUUACAAAAGAAAAUGUAGGCAUAAGUAACGAUAAUGCGGGCGAGAAACCCGCACACCGAAAGACUAAG